AAGUUGCAUGAAGUAAAAAGUUGAAGUGAUGAAAAGUGAUGAAAAGUGAUAAAAGUGAUGAAAAGUGAAAUAUAUGUCGGCACCCCCAAGGUGGUUACCGCUGGAAACCUAGUUAUCCAUUUAGGUAGAUAAGGUGACACAGGCUAACUAGGUUAACCAUAUAAUUGGUUAACCUAGUUAACCCAAGUGAAUUGCUAGGUAGUCAGGACUGCUCGGGCUUUGGGGGAAUUUUGGAGAUAAGAACUCAGCACGUAACGCGGGGGCUUGGGGCUCGCAGUGGGAUUCUGAGGGCCUUCGAGUCCACCGGUCUGGACACGCUGGGUAACUGCGCGCGUCGCUGUAUGAAAGGCGACACCUUCGGCCAAAGUGUAAAUAUGUAAAUAGCUGUUACUAACCCUUAAGUAUAAUCGCUGCUGUAAAUAUUGCUAAGUAGUAGUCUAGAGUAUAACCAUGUAUUGCUGUAAAUAUUGCUUAAAAUAACUCUUGCCGUAAAUAAGAGUUAGAGGAAUACGCGUAAGGGGUGGGUUUGGAUAAAUAAAUACGGAAAAGGGAAGUUAGUAGGUAGAUGAGUAAAAAGUUGUAGAGGGACUGAUUUGAGAGACUUAAAAAAACUGAGCUCUCUGUGCUGCAGAGCGCUGUGUCUGCAGGCAGUUUGUGAAUCAUCCCUACGGUAUGUGGAGGAGUGAGAGGAGCAUCAGAGCAGUUAAAAGAGAUAAGUCUGCAAAAAUUAAGAGUUGUUGAAUAUAAAGAGGAAAAUAGACACUGCUGCUGAAAUAUAAUGUUGUUGUUUAAGGAAUUUAAACAGAAAGAUCUGUAGAAAUAAUAUUUGUCAAGCAGCAAUAAGGUGGAAAAUUUGUGGGUAAAAUUGAGUAAAAGAAGAUAUUAAUUACCAAAAUAGGGAUAAUGAGUAAAUAGGGAUUGCAGGCAUUUUUUGGGGGAAUUAUUAGCUUAAUAAAAGUAUGACCAAAAGUUAAAUAAAUUGGAAAUAGAGCUGCUUGACUAAAGUAAAAAGAAGGAUAACCUAACCUAAAGCUAAAUUGUAACAUAUCCAAACUAAUAAUAGUAAGAAUGAGAACUAUAAACUAAUUCUAAUAAUAAAACAUAGCUGGGAUAAAACUCAGGCCUAAAAUAAUUAGAGGGAAAGUAAAUAAAUCACACAAACAAAUAAUAAAUGAAAUAGGGAGAUUUGUGUUGUGUUUGGAGAAAUAUAGACGGUAGUGGUGAUGAUCUAAGAACAGCUGAACAUCUUAGUAAGGAAUGAGAGAUAGAGACCAAAUAAAAAGAACAUGUUUGGGCUACAACGGAGAUAAGAGAGUCAAAACAGCAUCCAUAAAUCGAUCUCAGUAAAAUGUAGGAGUUCAGAAUAAACAGGCUGACAUGUGGGGUGAAGUGGUCAUGAGGACGAAUAAUGAACAAAUUAACAAAAAGAGACACCUGCUAGAGAUCUGUUUAAAAUGCUGCCAUCACAAAUAAGUAGCUGGGAAGAGAAAAAAAGGUAGACAGGGUUUAAAUGCAACUAACUGAUAUAUUAAACCCAGAGCAUAAGAGCUAAAAUCACUGGAUGCAAAAUAGUGAAGUGAAAUAGAAGAGUUUUGUUGGAAAUGGUGGUUUAAUAAGUCAGAGAUUGUGACUUAACAAUUUCAAGUAAAGUUUAGUGCCUGUUGAGUGUGGCAGAGGGAGACAGUAGCAGAGGAAAAAGGAAAAGUGUUGUACUGAGAGAGCUCACAUCAGCUGAGCCGCUGCUGCAGGAGGCGGCCCGUAAACAGCGUCACAGGGUGUAGCUGGCUCAAGUUGCUCUGACUGUGGAGUGUGUGGGGUGGGCCCCGACAUCCUGCCAAGAGUGUCCUUGACCAGUGCACAGUGCACAGGCUAAGCCAAAUGCAAGUGUGUGAGAAGAAGAGUAAAAGACUGACCUGCAUGUCUCAAAGAGGUUAUUGUUAUGGUGAGCUUGUGCAAGCUCAGAGGAGUCACCUGAGACAGGAAGCAAAAUUGUUUGCUUAAAAAAAAGAAAAAGAGAAAAAAAAAAGAAAAAGAUGUAACUUGUUUGUAAAGUUUGCGGCCCACAUCAGUUAAGAUGCUUAAACAAGUGAUCAAAUGCUGAGUACUAUGAACAAAAAACAACAAAAAUGUAAAAAAGAAUAGUGCCCAUUAGAGUGAGGAACAGGAAGAAAGAAGCUCUAAAUUUGAGAAUAAAAUAUUAGAAGAAACACCUGGGAGGAAAAUGAUAAGGCCAGUAAACUGGUUCUCAUGUAAAUUAAAAUAAAUAUAACAAACUAUUAAAAUAAGAAAAGGGAAGUAAGACAGAACUGAAUGACAGAGGGGCAUAAGACAUAACAGUAGAGAAGCAGUGGAAAGAAUUGAGAAUAAUAAUAAUUCAGCGAGUAAACAAAAAGUUUAAAUAUAACAGUAACUGAUUAGAGUGUAAUGUUAACAAUAAUAAAACAAUAAUUAGAAAGAUGUAAUAAAUAAUGCCAUUAAGUGUAAUAGUAAAAUAAGAGGAAGAGUAGGUACGAAUGAAAAGUGAUUACACUCAAGCACUUUAGAAAAAAAGAAUAAAAAUUUAAAGAAAAAGAAUAUUUGGCUGGGAAAAGAAACAACAGAAAUAAAGUUGUGGGGUGCAUGGCUGGUUAACCUGCAGCUGUGGAUCAUUAGAACUGCUGAUCAAUAAAAUAAAAGCAUGAUUAGAUAUUGUAUGGGGGAAGGGAUUAUUAAAGGGAUCUUUGGUAUCUAAAACACUCGCCUUGAUGCUGGUCAGACUGUGUGUAAUUCUUCUUCUAUAGCUAUAAGAGAAAUAACAUUUAGACGAGCUUCAGAGGUGAGUGACAUAAGAGGGCCUUAACCCUUUAGGGCCUCGAGUGUCAGGCUUGAAUCAGGAAGCAUUUAAGUUUUAAGAGUCCCAAAACAUCAGAGUGCUUUUUACCAUCCAAGAAAGUAAAUAAAUAAAUAAAUGAAUUGCACUUUAUACAUUUAAGGAAUAACUUGCAAAAUGCUGUCUUUAGCAAAUGCAAUAUGGUAAUUCUUACAUAUGCAAAAUUACUAUUGCUUUUAAUUUGUCAAGUUUAAUAGGUGUUGUGACAAAAUUUGGGGGUAAUUGUUUCAGGAAUCAGGGUUUUGAAUAGUGACAGGGUUAAUCCCACAGCUGCAUCUUGUCACUUACAGGAAAGUUGGGCAGAAAAACAUAAAACUGUUGUAUAUGAUAAUAAAGCCCCUAUGAUCUUGUUUUAGUUUUACAAGAAAAAUAAAAGCAAAUAUAGAUAAAUCUCUGCUAAAUCUAAGCUCCCUGAAUAAGCAGUGUGCAUCGUGCGGGGGGGAAAUACACAGGAGCAGGGUUUGGAGGGGAUGACAUAGCCUUUGUUCCAGCAAAAGCUGGUGAUUAGAAAUAAAACACAUUAACCUAAAAUGCAAUAAGGAGAAAUCAAAAGUUGAGCCUUUGUACUAAAAAAAACUAAACAAAAAAACAAAAACCAUGACAAAAGUGAUUAUGGCUUAGAAGAGGAGAAGUAAACACGAGAAAGUUUGAGAUGUAGGAAGUCAGAUUAAGGAACCGAAGAGUGAAGAGUGAUUAGACAGGUGGGACAAAGAAAGUUGUGAGUCAGAGGAAAGGAAGCUAAAUAGGAGAAUUCAAAGACCAGGAGUAAGAUAAUGGAGAGUAACAUGAGGUCGAGCUCACAGGCAAAAGAAAAAAAAAAGGUGGAGCAAAUGAAAACAGUUACUAACUGAUGUAUGCACAUACUUCAAACAACGACUCUCCUGCUAUGGGAAAAAGAAAUACCUCCUUACAGAUGAAGGAGCUCACCAACUGAGGGGGAGAAACACAGAGCACCAGUGAAAGACAGCAGGCCAUGAGCCUGUGGAGAAGAGCAACACUGGCACUGCGAAGGCCUACGUCACUGAUGAGGCCUGCACAAAGGUGGAGAGGAGGAGUCAGCUGUAUGACGACAUCCAAUGGUUGGCACGUGUGAAAGCCCAGGAACUCCAGAGAGGAGCGUCCAAGUGAAGAUCCACAAUUCAUGAAACUGAGUCUCCUCGAGUCCAAUGAAAGACUGUAUCUGCAGAGGGCUGGAAAAGUGUAUUAAAACACACUUUUAGUCAGCUGACAUACUCAUCAAUCUGCUGAGUGGCCUCUAAGAACCAACAUUGUCUGCAUCUGGGAUGUUCUCUGUGUGGAUGUUCCUGGAGAACGCCAAGAGGAUUGUGGGCAGCACCGUAACAACAAGGAAUUUACUGCCAAGAGAAAUCCUCAGUACAUGGACUGUGACUGAUACCAGAGUACUAACUAUGCAUGAUAUCUGCAGUGAACAACAUGAAGCAGCUGCAUCAGUAAUGCUCCCAACAAACUAAUAAGUUUAAAGCCCUGGGCUCCACCCCUUGUGUUACUCUCCCAGUAGAAAAAGAACACAUAUAAUAAGAACUAGGCCACAUGAAAGCAUUAGAUGGGAGAUUAUUAGAAAUAUAUUCAUUACUAACACUCUUACAUUAGAAUAUUAUUUAAGAUUAGGAAAUUUGAAUACAUAAAGGGCGCAGACAUGACUCCCAUUGACACUAGAACAGACACAGGGCAUUAGAACCCCAGUAGGGCAGGGGACAGAUAAGUAAACUUAGAGAAGUUAUUAAUCACCUUAUGAGCAUUGCAUUAUUGAAGGGAUGAGACCUAUACAUGGGGAUUUACUAAAAGUUGGGGUAAUGAUGAAACUCAGGAUCCCUGGUAACAUGAAAUGAGAAAUUUAAACAUCUGCUGUUUCUGACCCUGGUACACUGCUCUUGGGUAUCCCCCUGACAUGUAUGUAACUGUGUGGGUGCAAAUAUGUGUGAAUCUGUGUGCAGAUAUGACAAAUAAUCUGUCUUUUAUCUUUUUCAGUGCAGCUACAUAUAGACCAGUGGCAGCUACCUCUGUUCCUGUGUUGAAGCUAAUAGUAAGAUGCUAGCUCUAAAUGUGCAGCACUAAACCAUCCAUAGUGCGAUAAUUCAGUGUGUGUGCAAUUUGUAGUUACUUUCAAAUGGAAGAAAGAUAAAAAUGAAUGCAGUGUGGAGGAGAAAGCAGUGAAGGAUUCUGUCAUAAUCUUAACUGCAUUGGGAAAAGGGGGGAACAUAUAGCUUAGCAGAGCUAAAUUGUUAACUCUCCCAAAGAAUGAACCAAACAAAAAAAAAAGAGAAAAUCUAAAUUAUCAGAUAUUUUGGAGGGAAAGAGGCUAAAGCCUGAUCCCCUAUAAAAAUGAGCAAACCUCAAAUUAGAAAAAUGUGGCAUAAAUUAUCUUUCCUGUGUGUGGCAGGGUCCAGUUGUCUGUGGAUUGACAUAUUUAAAUUACUCAAAUGCUUACUCUAGCAAAAACUGCAGAGCUAAAUGACUCUAUUCUAGUUCUAUUCUAGUUCCAGUGUGAAGAGGUAGAGUUUGAAGCACUGAGGAGGGACAUGCAGUCUGACCGGGCACUUAGCAACCAAAAGGAAAGAGAAGAACAUUUCAUUGGUAUGGGGCAAACUGAGAAGAUUAAGGUAAGGCAGAGUUGAGUCAGAAUGAUUAAACCUCAAUAGGUAAGCAACUAUUGACCUAGUACAAUCCAAAUUUACAAAAGUUGAAGUAGACCUUUUACCCUGCAAUUAGCACUGUUUGUUUUUCAGGAGGUCUCAGUGUUCAUCAUGGCCAUCCAGGUGUAUUGUAAAUAUAAUGCCAAUUACAUGUAUUAUUUACGGUCCAAAAUUUACUAUCACUCAAGUUAAGGAAAAUGGGGUGUGAAGUAAUUGUCUGCCUCAGAGUCCACCACCAAAAUGUGUAACAAGGUCCAAUUAGGGAAUUUCUUAUGAUUACUGUCUAUGAACACCCCAUGCAUGAAAAUUUGUAUGAAUAGUCUAAUACACCUGUUUUAGCUUUUCAAUGGCUAUUUUUCUAUAAGAACAAAGGCUGUCAUGCUGUAUAUUAUUCAACUCAAGGUUGAACAGGCAUGAAAUUAUGUUGCCAGUCAUCUAAAGGCACAUUAUUAUCUAAGGAUAAACUGCAAAAAUAAAACAUUACAAAACAAUUAUUUAUCUGACCCCCUUUUAGCAAGAAAUUUGGAGAAGAGGAACUCCCUUUUUAACAGGAAUAAAUGCCCAGUAGAACUGGGCACAGGGGGGAGUGGUCAUCUGCUGCGACCAGCUGAGUGAGGAGAAAGAGACAGGACUAAAAACAUGCUGUGUAGGAGACCCAGAGAUUGAUAAUAACUAAUAAUAACUCAAAAGAGAGACCUAAAAAACUGGAGGCCUGGCUUCCCAUUCUACUUUUAAAUAUUCUAGUAAGCUUAAAGUUUGAGAGUCAAGUGGGGAGAUACAGUACUAUAGGAGCAGGAUGGUAAUUAAAAAACAGAUUUAACAAGGAGCCUAUGAAGAGAAGUCAAUAAAAGAAAUAUACUCUGUCAUUCUAGUCCCUUUCAGUAUUCAUGUGCAACAUUUUGAUGUAGUUGAAUGCUUUUUAAGGAGUUUUUACCACAACCUGAUAAUAACAACAGCUCAGCCUAGAAGUAAUAAAUGCAUGAAUUUGUCUUUCAGCAUCACUCUGGGACAGGACUUUAGAGAUAUUGCAGAAAUUGAAGAAAGCAGUCCUUAAUAUUCACAUAUUAGUGCAUAUUGGGAUUUAAAAAAUUACUCCAAGAAACCUCACAGUGUUAAUGGAGACCAAGGUAAUGCCAUUCAGGGCAUUCCUUUAGGUUGACUGACAGGUGUGUGUUGCCUGGCUUCAUGGAUGAAUGAGAGAGAGGGUGUCAUCAGCACGGCAGAGGUAUGUUGUGUCUUUUGUGGUGUUACCUGAAGGAGGCACAUGUUAUGUAAACAGAAAUAGAUCUUGGGGUGGAACCUUGUGAAGCUCAAUGGUUAGUCUUGUGUAUGUGGGAGGAUUCUUAGAAUAACAUGGUCACAAGUGUCGGACAUAGAGAUCAAUCCACUGUCAGAGGCCUUAAGAAGAUCAUUUUUAACUUUCAUCAAAGCUGUUUCUAUACUGUGAGGUGCUCUGAAACCUGACUGAAACUCUUUAAAUAAGGCAUUCCUCUGUGGCUAUUUUACAGCAUCUCUUGUGGGGAUUUUUGACAUAAAGGAAAGUUGGAGGCCUAUAAUUGGCUAGGACAGUUAGGUCAAGUGAUGGUUUAACUACUGCCAACAUGAAGAACUGUGUGGUCAAUGUUGCAUUGUCUAACUUAGCUUUGAAAAUUCCAAUUCUGUGGCUAUAGAGGUGUGGGAAGUUUGAUCAGCCAUAUAGCCAGCAACACUAAGUAGAGGGCUAACAGUGUUAAUGAUGAAAUGUGAACUGGCCGGUGACAGAGUUAAUGUUUAUCCAAAUUCAGCAUAUAAAUUUGACAUGUGCUCAAUAGUGUUUAAGAACAAAGGAGAUCUUAGAGAAGCCAACAGAGCCCCAAUACUGUAUGAAGAAGCAGUAACUCAGCUCCUAGUCGCCCUAAAGCUCCCUGGUGCUUUGGCUGUGAUUAGAUGUCUUGAUCACCAGAAAACAGACACAUUAACACCUAAAUGAAACAACAUGUUAGAGCUUUACUAUGCACUUCCUAAAUUGAUAGCUAGGUAAAGAUAAGUAAAGCUUUCUCUUUAUAACAGCAUUUGAGACAAACAUUUCAAAGUGCUUCACAAAAUAAAGCAAUGAAUUGGAAUUUGUUAAGGAAGAGGUCAACUGGGUACAAAUAUUAACUUUAGUACUAAGGUGCAUGCAGUUGUGAACUAACAAGACUAAAACAACUAACAUUGCAUGGCAUACUCACAAAGGUCCAUAGAUAAGUCCUCAUAAAGGGCCUGUAUUGGUAACUGUGAACACAACUAAUGCAGUCUGCAAAGCUAUCUUUCUGCAGGAGAUGGCUUCUGGAUGGCAGAUGGAGAUGCAGAGGUCCUGGAGCAGGUGCUGGCAAUCUGAUGACGAGUGCGAGGGAACAACGGGGUGAAACAGGCUGCUCCAGACAGCUGAGCCAUGACCCAUCCAGUAGCUGCUGAACCUGCUGCAGAGCCUACAGCCCAGGUGGAGCUGUACCGUGCCCAAACCAGCUUCCGAAUGAUGGAUGUGCAAGAUCAACUACUACCCAGCGCCGACCCUGACUUUAGUCAAGAGUAGGACCAAGUCGUCUCGAGUAUUCUUAGAAGCUAUGCAAGAUCCAGCAGUCAAGAAGUACCAUAAGAGACUUUUCUCGGACUCAUAAAUUAGUUGAAAUAUGGACUGAAAAAGGGACACAAGUUGAGUAAAGGUUGAAGCUGACUGCAGAGAAAUGUCAACCUUGAAGCUAACAAAGGACAUUUCAAAGCCCACACUGAGAAGUCUGUUCAGAAGAAGAAGUUGCACCUGACCAAGAUGAGAUCCAAGAUUGGAAAUUAGUUGUUUAAUCGUGUUAUUAUUUUAAUGUCACUAAUGGUGUUGUGUAGUCCAUGUAUGUAUUAUGUGUCUCUGCUGAUGUGUUUUGUGCCUUACUUUCAUUUUCCUGUAAUUAGGCUGAUUUUUAAGUUUCUUGAGUAUUCUGUUUAGGAUACUGUGGAGUAUGAUUUGCAAAUGAAGAUGAAUCAAUUUGUCUUAAAUUAAUUGACUAAGAGAAAUGGAAUCUUGGGAGAAUGUUAUGUUGAUGACUAUGAGGUUUUUGGUAGAAGGAAGGGCUUAUUCAUUUGAGCAAUAACGGUGUGGGAUCUUUAUACAAAUUCUUAUGUUCUAUUUAGAGCUUGCUUUAAAAUAUGUUAGCAAAAAAACAGCGCACGCAUUAGUUUUCACAAUUUUUGUUCUUCUUUAGUUAUGGGGUCUUUUUAGGUGGUACCUCUAGGUACCACAGGGGGGAAUGUGGUGGAUUUUUGUUUGAUAUGUAUAACUAUGUAACUAUAUACACUAUAUAUCUGUGUGCACUGAACAUAUAUAUUUUAACUUUCAUGUAGAGUCUUAAGCACAAGACAUUUUGCUUCACCGAGGUUUAUUAAGUUGGUACUGUAACAGGGCAGUUAAUGUAGGGGGAGAGUUCUCUUGAAUAAUUUACUUAAUAAUUAAUUAA